rnacentral:rRNA from 1 species
GAUGAACGCUGGCGGCGUGCCUAAUACAUGCAAGUCGAACGGAGACGGUGUAGCAAUAUAUCGUCUUAGUGGCGAACGGGUGAGUAACGCGUAGGCGACCUGCCCCGAAGAGCGGGACAACAGUUCGAAAGGGCUGCUAAUACCGCCUGAGGUCUGCCGGGUUAGAGGCUGGCAGACGAAAGGAGAAAUCCGCUUCGGGAGGGGCCUGCGUCCCAUCAGCUGGUUGGUGAGGUAACGGCUCACCAAGGCGACGACGGGUAGGGGACCUGAGAGGGUGGUCCCCCACACUGGCACUGAAACACGGGCCAGACACCUACGGGUGGCAGCAGUAGGGAAUAUUGCACAAUGGGCGCAAGCCUGAUGCAGCAACGCCGCGUGCGCGAAGAAGGCCUUCGGGUCGUAAAGCUCUGUCCUGUGGGACGAAACAAAUGACGGUACCACAGGAGGAAGCCCCGGCUAACUACGUGCCAGCAGCCGCAGUAAAAC